GACGAACGCUGGCGGCGUGCUUAACACAUGCAAGUCGAACGAUGAAGCUGGAGCUUGCUCCGGUGGAUUAGUGGCGAACGGGUGAGUAACACGUGAGCAAUCUGCCCUUGACUCUGGGAUAACUGCGGGAAACUGUAGCUAAUACCGGAUACUUUCACUGGAAGGCAUCUUCUGGUGAAGAAAGAAUUUCGGUCAAGGAUGAGCUCGCGGCCUAUCAGCUUGUUGGUGAGGUAACGGCUCACCAAGGCGACGACGGGUAGCCGGCCUGAGAGGGUGAGCGGCCACGCUGGGACUGAGACACGGCCCAGACUCCUACGGGAGGCAGCAGUGGGGAAUAUUGCACAAUGGGCGCAAGCCUGAUGCAGCAACGCCGCGUGAGGGAUGAAGGCCUUCGGGUUGUAAACCUCUUUUAGCAGGGAAGAAGCGAAAGUGACGGUACCUGCAAAAAAAGCACCGGCUAACUACGUGCCAGCCGCCGCCGUAA
rnacentral:rRNA from 1 species